GACGAACGCUGGCGGCGUGCCUAAUACAUGCAAGUAGAACGCUGAAGAGAGGAGCUUGCUCUUCUUGGAUGAGUUGCGAACGGGUGAGUAACGCGUAGGUAACCUGCCUUGUAGCGGGGGAUAACUAUUGGAAACGAUAGCUAAUACCGCAUAACAAUGGAUGACACAUGUCAUUUAUUUGAAAGGGGCAAUUGCUCCACUACAAGAUGGACCUGCGUUGUAUUAGCUAGUAGGUGAGGUAAUGGCUCACCUAGGCGACGAUACAUAGCCGACCUGAGAGGGUGAUCGGCCACACUGGGACUGAGACACGGCCCAGACUCCUACGGGAGGCAGCAGUAGGGAAUCUUCGGCAAUGGGGGCAACCCUGACCGAGCAACGCCGCGUGAGUGAAGAAGGUUUUCGGAUCGUAAAGCUCUGUUGUAAGUCAAGAACGGGUGUGAGAGUGGAAAGUUCACACUGUGACGGUAGCUUACCAGAAAGGGACGGCUAACUACGCGCCAGCAGCCGCGGUAAUACGUAGGUCCCGAGCGUUGUCCGGAUUUAUUGGGCGUAAAGCGAGCGCAGGCGGUUUGAUAAGUCUGAAGUUAAAGGCUGUGGCUCAACCAUAGUUCGCUUUGGAAACUGUCAAACUUGAGUGCAGAAGGGGAGAGUGGAAUUCCAUGUGUAGCGGUGAAAUGCGUAGAUAUAUGGAGGAACACCGGUGGCGAAAGCGGCUCUCUGGUCUGUAACUGACGCUGAGGCUCGAAAGCGUGGGGAGCGAACAGG
rnacentral:rRNA from 1 species